GAAGCUUGUAGACAGAGACCAGACAACAAGAUGGGUUUACUGGUGAAGACUGUCACCUUGCUGCUACUCAGUGUAGUGGUAUCAUAUAGUGAAAAUAUUCUCACGCAGUCUCCAGCAUCCAUGGCCAUAUCUCAAGGGGAGAAGGUCACCAUCACCUGCAGUGCCGGCUCAAGUGUAAGCUCUAAUUACUUCUACUGGUACCAGCAGAAGCCAGGAGCCUCUCCUAAGCUCCUGGUCUAUGGCACAUCCAGGCUGGCUUCUGGAGUCCCAGCUCGCUUCAGUGGCAGUGGGUCUGGAACCACUUACACUCUCACGAUCAGCAGCAUGGAGGCUGAAGAUGCUGCCGUUUACUACUGUCUGCAGAAGAGCAGUGCACCUUUCACACAGUUCUAG